CCCCGCGCUUCUGCACCACCGCAUACGUGUCGGCCAUGGCGAGGGCCGGGGGCCCAGGCACCGAGAUGCUUCUGCGAGUGGGGAAGACGGGGGAGGAAGUGAAAUGACUGAGCGGAGGGAGGGGGUGGGGAGUGCGCCUAGCUUGCAAACCGCGGGCUUCCUUCCCACCCAAGGCGCUAGCAGGUCAGGUCGAAGAGAGCAGGUGGGCAGGUCUCAGAGGAGAGAGGAUGGGGUCUCUGGAUGAGGGGAGUUCGGUUCUGUCUCUCGAGCGCCUGGCAAGUUAGCUGCAGGCCGCUGCUUUCUCAUCUCCAGGACUACGUUGAAGAGGCUGAAGUUAGGUGGGAUCAUCUGAGACAGAGAAGACAUGAGCAGACAUUUCUCCAAAGAAGAUAUCCAAAUGG